UUCUUUGCCCCCUCGUGAGCACCAAUCCGACACACCUCCAAAUAUUGGUCAGUUUACAGAGCGGAAAUACCAUUAAAUUAUAGGUAGGAAGAGCAAUGCACAUAUCAACAAGCUUCCACAGAAAGAUCAGCAUGCAUUGGAGGGGAGGUCA